ensembl:snRNA U6 U6 spliceosomal RNA
GUGCUCGCUUUGGCAGCACAUAUACUAAAAUUGGAACGAUACAGAGAAGAUUAGCAUCACCACUGGCAAGAAUGACAUGCAAAUUUCUAAAGUGUUCCAUAUUAUU